rnacentral:lncRNA from 1 species
CAGGCUAAAUGAAAAACAAUCACUGUAUAAUGUGUCCCCUGCUGUAUAGUCCAAAACCACUGCACGAUGUCUCUGUGCACCAAAUACUGGCAAGAUGGCACCGUGUUGAAAAGUCCAAACAGUGUCUGUGAGUUAAAAUGGCCGCCAUCCAUUGUUCUGACCAUGUGCUUCUGAUACAGGAAAUGGUGGCCACCCAGUAACUCCACAGUAUGUCCCCAGAUGGUUCUUAAAGGGCCAGCAGCAGCACAACACAAAUCCAUUAUGCCCAAAUCAUGUCUUUAAAGGGCAAUACAUCCCAGGGGCCAUAGUUACAGGGCAAGAGGCGGGCAAGCAGU